rnacentral:lncRNA from 1 species
ACAAACUCACUCACGCACGCACUCUUACUUCCCUUUUGACAAACCACAGAAUCACACCCACAAUCAACAAUCACCCACGCACUCUUACUUUCCGUUUGACAAACCACAUACGACGGACGAGCCCACAGACGACGGACCACCACCAUCACGUGAUCGAGGGAGUAGAACUCACGCGGUGGUGCGUUGGAGCCGCGGUUCUUUCGAGCUAAAAGGUCGGCGUUCCUGUUGGUUUUCGUCGGCGAGGAUGGUAGGGAAACGACGGUCGGCUUCCAAGCUUCAGAUCAAUACCUUGAUCGGUCGGUGGAGUUGCCGGGAUCGUGAAAUCCAACCGGGUCACGUUCGUGGGUCGGGUCGGGUUCACGGUUUUGAGCUAAAUCGACGGCGUUCUUGUUGGUUUUCGGCGGCAAGGAUGGCAGGGAAACGAGGGCCGGCUUCCAAGCUUCAGAUCAAUACCUUGAUCGGUCGGUGGAGUUGCCGGGAUCGUGAAAUCCAACCGGGUCACGUUCGUGGGUCGGGUCGGGUUCACGGUUUUGAGCUAAAUCGACGGCGUUCUUGUUGGUUUUCGGCGGCAAGGAUGGCAGGGAAACGAGGGCCGGCUUCCAAGCUUCAGAUCAAUACCUUGAUCGGUCGGUGGAGUUGCCGGGAUCGUGAAAUCCAACCGGGUCACGUUCGUGGGUCGGGUCGGGUUCACGGUUUUGAGCUAAAUCGACGGCGUUCUUGUUGGUUUUCGGCGGCAAGGAUGGCAGGGAAACGAGGGCCGGCUUCCAAGCUUCAGAUCAAUACCUUGAUCGGUCGGUGGAGUUGCCGGGAUCGUGAAAUCCAACCGGGUCACGUUCGUGGGUCGGGUCGGGUUCACGGUUUUGAGCUAAAUCGACGGCGUUCUUGUUGGUUUUCGGCGGCAAGGAUGGCAGGGAAACGAGGGCCGGCUUCCAAGCUUCAGAUCAAUACCUUGAUUGGCCGGUAGAGUGGCCGAUGGUGAAAUCCAACCGGGUCACGUUCGCGGGUCG